rnacentral:rRNA from 1 species
GACGAACGCUGGCGGCGUGCCUAAUACAUGCAGGUAGAACGCUGAAGGAGGAGCUUGCUCUUCUGGAUGAGUUGCGAACGGGUGAGUAACGCGUAGGUAACCUGCCUGGUAGCGGGGGAUAACUAUUGGAAACGAUAGCUAAUACCGCAUAAGAGUAGAUGUUGCAUGACAUUUGCUUAAAAGGUGCACUUGCAUCACUACCAGAUGGACCUGCGUUGUAUUAGCUAGUUGGUGGGGUAACGGCUCACCAAGGCGACGAUACAUAGCCGACCUGAGAGGGGGAUCGGCCAAAAUGGGACUGGAGCACGGCCCAGACCUCUACGGGGGGCAGCAGUAGGGGAUCUUCGGCAAUGGACGGAAGGCUGGCCGAGGAACGCCGCGUGAGUUAAGAAGGUUUUCGGAUCGUAAAGGUCUGUUGUAAGAGAAGGACGAGUGUGAGAGUGGAAAGUUCACGUUGUGACGGUAUCUUACCAGAAAGGGACGGCUAACUACGUG